rnacentral:lncRNA from 1 species
CGAUAAACAAUUUUUGUAGCGUAAAAGCUAAAUAAAUUCAUACAUACUCUAAUACAGAUAACCAAAGUAUAAAAUUUAAUUUACAGUGACACAUAGGCCCACGAACGACCAAAAGUAAUGAAGGCUAUGAACCUACAGUUUUUUAGGAUGCAAGUCCAACUGUAGCCCUCAACGAAAUGAGCUAUCUACCGACUAUCCUGAGCCUGAAAGGGGUGGAAAUGAGGGUGGUGAGAUUAUAUAAUCCCAGUGAGUAAACAAAUACCAUCUAAAAUAUCUAAAGUUGAGUAAAUGAAGACAGAUUAAUAUAGAUCAUCAUACUGUAAUUUAUCACCUUUCAACUCAUUUCAACCAAAUAAAAUCAAUUCAUAUAAAUCGAGUAAUCAACAUAUCUUAUGAAUUUCUUAAAACUUUGGCUCGUGCCAAAAUCAUUCUCAUACUCAGUUAUCAAGAAUACCUUGGCCGAGGGCUAUCCCAACUGAGUCCGCCAAGGUUGAUAAAAAGUUAUGUACGCAUAAAUCAUGUUUUUAUUUUGAAAACAUAGUCGUUCCUUGGCGUUGGCUGAGUUCACCCUCAUGUGGUGGUUUGGCAUGAAGUGAACUCUAAAGUGUUAACCUCAGGAGUUAUCCAUCCGCGCCUCUCAUAGUGAGGUAUGAAUAUAAUAGGGUUAUUGUGCCUCUCUAAUAGGCUGGUCCACGGAACCCGUCCACUGCAGCGACUAAUUUAUAACCCACCAUACAAUAAAAUUUGCAAUAGCAUGACAUGGCAAUUAUUUUAGUUUACAGCCUCUCAAGGCAAAUUAAUAGUUCAUUCAUUUUCAACACAAAUACCAAUUCAGCCAUUUAUGCAAAUAUUAUCAUAAGCCAUUUAAUUUAAACCAUUAUUUAUAACAUAACAAUUAGUCUCCAAUUACUCCAUUUUCAAAACCAUCAUUCAAUUUCAAGAUAAUUUUAUAAAAUCAUUUCAUUUAAACACAUUUUGUUUAUAAAACCUAAAGAUUUACCAUUUAAACUCAUUUUCCAUAAAAUCACAAAAUUGGAUAAAAACCACUUUAAAUAAUUAAGAUGAUAGUAAGGUUACUCACUAUUUCAGCAGUCGAAUUUCGAGUACUUUGAUUCUUGAUCCUCGGGUACUAUCUCUUUACUUUUACAAGAAUGCUCACCACCUAGACAUAAUGCACAAUAAGCCAUUUACUACAUUUGUGCUAAAUUGUUAUGAAACCAAUUCAGGCUUUAUACUAAUGUAUGAAAUGGGAUGCAAAUUAUUCAGAUUAUCGUCUAAACACGGUGCUCUACACAAAUUCAAUUCUGUACCUAAAUAAAACGGUAUUGGCCUAAUUCGAUCUAUCACCCGAUUAAUUGGCCAAUAUGUCCAAUUUAACUCCAAAUAAUUCUAGUUUCCUCCCAAUACUCAAAAUCAUCAAACACAAAUUAAAUAACUUCAAAUAUGGCAAAAUCAUCCUCACAUUUUCUCUUAGAAAAUUCAGCCAUGGUGGGUGCAUCAACACUAUAAUUUUUCAAGCUUGAUUCUCACACCAUAAAUCACUAAUUCUGAACCAAAUCACUUGAAAUAAAAUCAAAAUCAUCCUCAAUAUUCCACAUGGAGAAUUUGGCCAAUGAUAGGUGAUGGAAGACCAUGAAUUUUUCUUGAUUGAUUUUCAUGCUACACAUCACCAAUUAACUAAAAACACUAAAAUAUCUCAAAAUCUAACCAAAUCAAGCAUAAAAACCUCUCUCUAAGUGUUCAGCCAGCAAGAUACCCAUCAUGAAAUCAUGUGAUUCAACCAUGGAAAAUGCAAAAGAAUGCAUGGGAAGGUAGAUCACAAGUCAAAAUCAAGAAAUUUUACCUUUGAUUGCUUGAUUACUAGAAAUGCACCAAAAAUUCUCUUGAAUUUUCACCCUAGGGUUCUUGUUCUUUCUUUUCUUCCUUUGUUCUUGCUUUGGCCGGCCAUAUGAAGAGAAAUAGGCUGAUUUUGUGCUGAUUUUUAAGCCAAAUAAUAAAUGGAUGAAAA